rnacentral:rRNA from 1 species
GUAGGGAAUAUUGCACAAUGGGCGAAAGCCUGAUGCAGCAACGCCGCGUGCACGAUGAAGGCCUUCGGGUCGUAAAGUGCUUUUCUGUAGGACGAGGAAGGACGGUACUGCAGGAAUAAGGAUCGGCUAACUACGUGCCAGCAGCCGCGGUAAAACGUAGGAUCCGAGCGUUAUCCGAAUUCACUGGGCGUAAAGCGCUUGUAGGCGGCUCGAUAAGUUGGAUGUAAAAUCUCCUGGCUCAACUGGGAGGUGCCGUUCAAGACUGUAGAGCUAGAGGGCGAUAGAGGGAGGUGGAAUUCCCGGUGUAGUGGUGAAAUGCGUAGAUAUCGGGAGGAACACCAGUGGCGAAAGCGACCUCCUGGGUCGCACCUGACGCUCAGAAGCGAAAGCUAGGGGAGCGAACGGGAUUAGAAACCCGAGUAGUCC